UGCGUCUUUCCUCAAGAGAGCGCCACCCAAGUUCAUUUGGCAUUUCAGUAACACUGGCCAGUGGAUGAAAGCGUGCUAGGGUCGAUCUCGCCGCUCUGCGUUGAAUCAUCUCCACUCUGUAUGAACCGUUGUUUUCAACUCCGCGUCGGGGAUCCCAAACGCUGCAGCAGUACUCUAGCUGGGGGCGUACAAGGCUAACAUAGGCCUUUUGCUUGAGUUCACGAUUUUUUACCCUCAGAUUUCUUUUCAGAAACCCUAGAGUACGGUUUGCUUUGGCAGUAACAUUGCUGAUGUGAGAGUUCCACUUUAAAUCGUGUGAUAAUUGUACUCCAAGGUACUUGGCACUUGUUACGGGCCUGAGGACUUGCCGUGAAGAGUAUAGUCAUGAUGGAU